rnacentral:lncRNA from 1 species
GUGGGCGAGGCUGUGCGUCGGUUCGCACUUCAGAGAGGGCGGCGUCGGUGUUCAUAGAGAGAGAGGCCUGCUGUUCUCCGCAAUCGGUUAUUCCGCUGGGGAUUUCGUCUUCCAAAUCGGCCUUGUCUGCUCUACUGGGCGGUCAGAGGUGUUCACGGCGACGUCUGGUUGUGGGGCUUCAUCGGGCUGUUAGUCUUCCUGCGUUGCAUCUGAUUUGAUUUUGCUUUCUUCGUUCUUGUUUCCUUAUGUCUUGUUCUCUUGAUUGUGGAGUCGAUUGUGUGAUGUAGGGUAUUGCUAGUGUGAAUUUUUGUGCGGAAAGGGGAUUCUGGUUUUGGUUGGGGUUG